CACGUACGUCAUCUUUCUGCUGAAGGGCGGGGCUGAGGAGUCUUCAGUGUCGAUGCACACAGUAUUACCCACAACUACAGACCGAAACUCAACUCCUUCUCACAUAUGAAUGUGCCGUGAGGUCUGUGGAUUAUACAUCUAUAAUUUGGUUGAGCAGAAAAAUGGAAACCCUUUUUUCCCAUCUCCAUACAAUAAGCCAUUGAUUAUUUUUUUUUUUUUUAAGUAGGAAGUUAUUAUUGGCGAACUCACUGCCAAUGGACGUUAUAGCCUUGCUUCUGUACCAAAAGAAGAAUCCCUCUUCUAAUUUGCAUUGAUCAUGAACAAUCAACAUGUGGCCAU